rnacentral:rRNA from 1 species
UACGGAGGAUCCAAGCGUUAUCCGGAUUUAUUGGGUUUAAAGGGUGCGUAGGUGGCCUGUUAAGUCAGGGGUGAAAGACGGUAGCUUAACUAUCGCAGUGCCCUUGAUACUGAUGGGCUUGAAUGAACUAGAGGUAGGCGGAAUGUGACAAGUAGCGGUGAAAUGCAUAGAUAUGUCACAGAACACCAAUUGCGAAGGCAGCUUACUAUGGUUUUAUUGACACUGAGGCACGAAAGCGUGGGGAGCGAACAGG